UUGGAGGGCAAGUCUGGUGCCAGCAGCCGCGGUAAUUCCAGCUCCAAUAGCGUAUAUUAAAGUUGUUGCAGUUAAAAAGCUCGUAGUUGAAUUUCGGGAUCAAAUUGUCGGUCGUGCCUCGGUACGCACUGGUAUUAUUGGUUCCUACCUUCUGAAGAACCGCGAUGUCAUUAAUUUGGUGUCGUGGGGAAUCAGGACUGUUACUUUGAAAAAAUUAGAGUGUUUAAAGCAGGCUUACGCUUGAAUACAUUAGCAUGGAAUAAUGAAAUAGGACGUUUGAUUCUAUUUUGUUGGUUUCUAGGAUUGACGUAAUGAUUAAUAGGGAUAGUUGGGGGCAUUAGUAUUCAAUUGUCAGAGGUGAAAUUCUUGGAUUUAUUGAAGACUAACUACUGCGAAAGCAUUUGCCAAGGAUGUUUUCAUUAAUCAAGAACGGAAGUUAGGGGAUCGAAGACGAUCAGAUACCGUCGUAGUCUUAACCAUAAACUAUGCCGACUAGGGAUCGGAUGAUGUUAAUUUUUUAAUGACUCAUUCGGCGCCUUACGGGAAAC
rnacentral:rRNA from 1 species